ACGUAUUUUCAAAUUUCGCCUACCGUUGAAACUAUAAAUUUGUAAAGCGGCACGAAGCAGUCAUAAUUUUCGUUAUAUCAAUAGCAAAUAGCCAGGUUUUCCCAGUUUCCUGGAUUUCCCCCCCACAAACCUCAUGUAUUAGUUUUUAAGCAUAAUAAAGUUUUAUCCCUUAAUACGUAGAUAGGGUUGUAGAAAUAAGUUUUCUGAUGCCUACAUAUAUAAGGCUUAAUUGUAAAUUGCUUUAAUAAGUAGAUUUAAGUAAUUUUGUAUAUAUAUUUUAAUACCAAAUAUAGAAAUUUUGAAUUUGAUUUUUUUUUUGAAGCAUCAUAAGUUUUCAAUAACUGCUGAAGUGAGCGCGGGACGUCUUCAGCAUUCUUAUAAAUAUACAAGAGGCAGUCUAUCAAUGUAAAUCUUUGAAGAUUAUAUUGGGGACAGUCAAAGAAAAUGUGAUCAAGAGUUUGGAUGGAUAAAUUACAGAAUUGACAAGUUGGAGAAUCUAAAACACCGAUCCUAAAUAAAUGAGCACCACUACGAGAAUGCCCCAGACGUAACCGACAAAUUGUGGUGUAAAAUUUUCUGUGGACAUUUAAGGAUAGAAGAAUGGAUGAUAAUUGUUCUGAAUCAACAUUAUUAAAUGCUCCUACAACAUCCAAAAAACACCAGCCAAUAUCUUAUUGUCAAUCUGGGCACUAUGGAUGCCAAGACAUAAAUGCCAUAUACUCUCACAAGCAGAACGACCACAUCGAAAUCCAAAUCGAUUAUUAGAUUACUGUGUGGAGGAAUGUUGGAUGGAAUUGAAGAAGAUUCAGUUUCCGACACCAUUUACCAUGGAAAAUUUUGUGAUUGUAGGCAAGUGAUAGCUGCCCAAAGAGUCCUGAUGAACUUGCCAUUCACAGCACAGGAAUAAUGAAGAUGAUACUAUUGUUAGAUCUAGUCCAUUUGGUCUCCAAGAAUUAGUACCCACUGUAGUUGGUUGACCAUUAUUUAAGAGCAUUAAGUCAUUAUCGUCCAUUACAUCCAUGAUGUCUCUACCUCUAGAAUUGGUUCUAUUACAACCCCAAAUGGUAUGGUGAGCAUUAAAAUCACCAGCAAUUAUUAGUGGUCUUGGAAUACUAUGCAACAGUCUAUUAAAUUUAGAUUUGUCAAAGUUAGGUACACUGUUGCCAGGACUAUAAAAGCUAACAAUUGAGAUGUCUUUUUGUUUGUAUUUAAUUUUGAUUGCUACAUUUUGCAAGGAGUUAUCAGAAAAUGUUUCUAACUUUUGAAAAUAAAUGCCAUUUCUAACAAAAAUUGCUACACCAUUGUGAUCAUUACCACAAUCAUUUCUUAGUAUUGUAUAACCUCUGAUAGAAAACUGUAUAUUUGGUUUAAGCCAAGUUUCUGAUAUAAGUGUAUGUCCUGCUCAUAAAGUAGGUUUUAAAGCUCAAGUCUGUUACUCAACAGACUGAGCAUUCCACUGUACUAUGUUAAGUUUGUGACAGUUGAAUGUGACGUUUUAUUUUUAAUUUGUAUGGUAUAUUUAAUUGCUGAACUAAUUGCGUGUGAGCUAAUGCUUUGAUUCUGUGUUUUAUUUAGUGUAAUGACUUUGAUUAUUGAUUCUGUGAUUAGGUUCAUUGCUGCUGGAUUGGACAAAAUUAAACUAAUGAUGUCUUGUGUGUUCUCUGACUUAUUGAGUGAUGGAAAGUUUGUUGGAUGUUUAAAUAAAUCUGAUAAUGGUGUUUUACUUUUAUUUUUACUAUCCAAUAUCUUUUUUUGUUUUAUAGGGCAUUGACCUGAUACUGCAAGAUGGUUACCUUUACAGUGCACACAUACUGCUUUGUCAAUAGGUAUAGUACAUUCUUUAUAUGAAUGAUUUUCAGUGCAGAUUGAGCAACGCUGAGCAUUCUUACAGAAUUUAGCCAAGUGGUCAAACCUAAGGCAUCGGAAACACUGCUUAACUGGCGGCACAGAAGGUCGCAUU